rnacentral:lncRNA from 1 species
GAAUCAGAAGCUUGUGGGGAAGGAAGGAACGUGCAGAAAACGAGGGAGGAAACUUCUUCAGGGAAGACCCAGAACAACCUUCACGUCAACGGUGGGGGCAGUGAGCAGGAGGAGCACCACGCAAGAGCUGGGAGAUCGAGCAGAGCCACGUCCCAGGGAAUGAGGACGUAAGAGCCAUCAGGCCCAGCCCUUCAGCUGGCCCCAGGCCCAUCUCGCCUCAUCUGCCCCUUCUCUUAUCCCUCUUCUGCCUCAGCUUUUGCCAGCAGGUUCCCGUCCUCCCUCAGAGGAUCAUCCAGAUUCCUGAUUUUGAUCCUGCACCAAGGCCUCCAGUCUCAGGCAACUGAUUACGAGUGGUCUAAAUCAAUGAUGACCAGCCCAUUUCUCACUUUCCUAGUCUCCUUUGCUGCUACAGGAGACCAUGAGACCCAGUUUUGGCCAAUGAAAUAUGAUGGGAAGUCUGCUGAGGGUACUUUCAUGAAA